AGCGACGCCGCGUGAGGGAUGACGGCCUUCGGGUUGUAAACCUCUUUCAGCAGGGAAGAAGCCACAAGUGACGGUACCUGCAGAAGAAGCGCCGGCUAACUACGUGCCAGCAGCCGCGGUAAUACGUAGGGCGCAAGCGUUGUCCGGAAUUAUUGGGCGUAAAGAGCUCGUAGGCGGUUUGUCGCGUCUGCUGUGAAAGCCCGGGGCUUAACCCCGGGUGUGCAGUGGGUACGGGCAGACUAGAGUGCAGUAGGGGAGACUGGAAUUCCUGGUGUAGCGGUGGAAUGCGCAGAUAUCAGGAGGAACACCGAUGGCGAAGGCAGGUCUCUGGGCUGUUACUGACGCUGAGGAGCGAAAGCAUGGGGAGCGAACAGGAUUAGAUACCCUGGUAGUCCAUGCCGUAAACGUUGGGCACUAGGUGUGGGGGACAUUCCACGUUUUCCGCGCCGUAGCUAACGCAUUAAGUGCCCCGCCUGGGGAGUACGGCCGCAAGGCUAAAACUCAAAGGAAUUGACGGGGGCCCGCACAAGCGGCGGAGCAUGCGGAUUAAUUCGAUGCAACGCGAAGAACCUUACCAAGGCUUGACAUGUACCGGAUCGUUCCAGAGAUGGUUCUUCCCCUUUGGGGUCGGUAUACAGGUGGUGCAUGGUUGUCGUCAGCUCGUGUCGUGAGAUGUUGGGUUAAGUCCCGCAACGAGCGCAACCCUCGUUCCAUGUUGCCAGCACGUGAUGGUGGGGACUCAUGGGAGACUGCCGGGGUCAACUCGGAGGAAGGUGGGGAUGACGUCA
rnacentral:rRNA from 1 species